GGAAUAUUGCACAAUGGGCGCAAGCCUGAUGCAGCGACGCCGCGUGAGGGAUGACGGCCUUCGGGUUGUAAACCUCUUUCAGUAGGGAAGAAGCGAAAGUGACGGUACCUGCAGAAGAAGCGCCGGCUAACUACGUGCCAGCAGCCGCGGUAAUACGUAGGGCGCAAGCGUUAUCCGGAAUUAUUGGGCGUAAAGAGCUCGUAGGCGGUUUGUCGCGUCUGCUGUGAAAGACCGGGGCUCAACUCCGGUUCUGCAGUGGGUACGGGCAGACUAGAGUGCAGUAGGGGAGACUGGAAUUCCUGGUGUAGCGGUGAAAUGCGCAGAUAUCAGGAGGAACACCGAUGGCGAAGGCAGGUCUCUGGGCUGUAACUGACGCUGAGGAGCGAAAGCAUGGGGAGCGAACAGGAUUAGAUACCCCGG
rnacentral:rRNA from 1 species